UUACUUACCUGGACGGGGUCAAUGGGCAAUCAAUAAGACCCAUGGCCUAGGUUGGUGACCUCCAUUGCACUUUGGAGGGGUGCCUUCCUAAGGUCGACCCAAGUGGUCGAGCCUAUGUCAUAAUUUGUUGCAGUGGGGGCCAGCGUUCGCGCGGCCCCUAC
rnacentral:snRNA from 13 species